rnacentral:rRNA from 1 species
AACGAACGCUGGCGGCAUGCCUAACACAUGCAAGUCGAACGAGACCUUCGGGUCUAGUGGCGCACGGGUGCGUAAAGCGUGGGAACCUGCCCUUAGGUUCGGAAUAACUCCCCGAAAGGGGUGCUAAAACCGGAUAAUGUCUUCGGACCAAAGAUUUAUCGCCUUUGGAUGGGCCCGCGUGGGAUUAGCUAGUUGGUAGGGUAAAAGCCUACCAAGGCGACGAUCCAUAGCUGGUCUGAGCGGAUGUUCAGCCACACUGGGACUGAGACACGGCCCAGACUCCUACGGGAGGCAGCAGUGGGGAAUAGUGGACAAUGGGCGAAAGCCUGAGCCAGCAAUGCCGCGUGAGUGAUGAAGGCCUGAGGGUUGUAAAGCUCUUUUACCCGGGAUGAUAAUGACAGUACCGGGAGAAUAAGCGCCGGCUAACUCCGUG